rnacentral:rRNA from 1 species
UACGGAGGGUGCGAGCGUUGUCCGGAAUCAUUGGGCGUAAAGGGCGCGUAGGUGGCCCGGUCAGUCCGUGGUGAAAGCGCGGGGCUCAACCCCGCGUCGGCCAUGGAUACUGCCGCGGCUGGAGCACUGUAGAGGCAGGCGGAAUUCCGGGUGUAGCGGUGGAAUGCGUAGAGAUCCGGAAGAACACCGGUGGCGAAGGCGGCCUGCUGGGCAGUUGCUGACACUGAGGCGCGACAGCGUGGGGAGCAAACAGG